rnacentral:snRNA from 1 species
AUGCUCACUUGGCAGCAUGUGUGCUAAAAUUAGAAUGAUACAGAGAAGAUCAGCAUGGCCCCUGCACAAGAAUGACACAGAAAUACAUGAAAUGAUCAAGCAUAAG